CCAUGAGGGAGGUUGUCAAGCCAUUGGCCUGUGUAGAAAUCACCAUUAGAAAGGAUCUUUUCUGCAUGGUUUACAGGUUCUUUACAAGGAGGAUCGUCAUCAUCAACAUGAGCUACUGCUGCUGACAUCAUGGUUUCAAGAACAAAAGCUGCAUUUUUUGCAGCAGACCAAGGAAAAAGGGGAGACUUGGGAGGGAACCAACAAAACAAAGACAACGACAACAAGCUGUGUUUUUUUGUUCUGUUUCUUGAGAUCGUUUGUGUUGUGUUCUCUGUUUCUUGUUUUGCUAAGAUGGUUUUCUGAAAUGGGCUGUUUCUUGUUUUUGAGGAAAAAAAUAUGUAAGAGUCGUUUUAGAUUUUGAUGAGGAAAGCAAAAGGAGAAGCUGGUAACCAAUGCUGGCCUUUUGUUUCUUUUACUUUCUUCUUUUUUGGAGGAGAUUUUCUUUUCCUUUCUUUUUCUUUGUUUGGGUACGAUUCAGGAAGAUGAAGUUUCUAUGA